UGCAGUCGAACGGGUGUAGAAAUACAUUAGUGGCGGACGGGUGAGUAACGCGUGAGAAUCUGGCUUUAGGUUCGGGACAACCACUGGAAACGGUGGCUAAUACCGGAUGUGCCGAAAGGUAAAAGGUUAACCGCCUAAAGAUGAGCUCGCGUCUGAUUAGCUAGUUGGUGUGGUAAGAGCGCACCAAGGCGACGAUCAGUAGCUGGUCUGAGAGGAUGAUCAGCCACACUGGGACUGAGACACGGCCCAGACUCCUACGGGAGGCAGCAGUGGGGAAUUUUCCGCAAUGGGCGAAAGCCUGACGGAGCAAGACCGCGUGAGGGAGGAAGGCUCUUGGGUCGUAAACCUCUUUUCUCUGGGAAUAAGAAAGUGAAGGUACCAGAGGAAUCAGCAUCGGCUAACUCCGUGCCAGCAGCCGCGGUAAUACGGAGGAUGCAAGCGUUAUCCGGAAUGAUUGGGCGUAAAGAGUCCGUAGGUGGUGAUUCAAGUCGAUUGUUAAAGAGCGGGGCUUAACCCCGUAGCAGCAGUGGAAACUGAAUCACUAGAGAGAGGUAGGGGUAGAGGGAAUUCCCGGUGUAGCGGUGAAAUGCGUAGAGAUCGGGAAGAACACCAGUGGCGAAAGCGCUCUACUGGACCUCAUCUGACACUGAGGGACGAAAGCUAGGGAGCGAA
rnacentral:rRNA from 1 species